rnacentral:rRNA from 1 species
UAGGGAAUCUUCGGCAAUGGACGAAAGUCUGACCGAGCAACGCCGCGUGAGUGAAGAAGGUUUUCGGAUCGUAAAACUCUGUUGUUAGAGAAGAACAAGGACGUUAGUAACUGAACGUCCCCUGACGGUAUCUAACCAGAAAGCCACGGCUAACUACGUGCCAGCAGCCGCGGUAAUACGUAGGUGGCAAGCGUUGUCCGGAUUUAUUGGGCGUAAAGCGAGCGCAGGCGGUUUCUUAAGUCUGAUGUGAAAGCCCCCGGCUCAACCGGGGAGGGUCAUUGGAAACUGGGAGACUUGAGUGCAGAAGAGGAGAGUGGAAGUCCAUGUGUAGCGGUGAAAUGCGUAGAUAUAUGGGGGAACACCAGUGGCGAAGGCGGCUCGCUGGUCUGUAACUGACGCUGAGGCUCGAAAGCGUGGGGAGCAAACAGG